rnacentral:rRNA from 1 species
GACGAACCGUCCAAACGUUAUUCGGAAUCACUGGGCUUACAGAGUUCGUAGGCGGUCUGGAAAGUUGGGUGUGAAAUCCCUCGGCUCAACCGAGGAACUGCGCUUGAAACUACCAGACUCGAGGGGGAUAGAGGAAAGCGGAACUGAUGGUGGAGCGGUGAAAUGCGUGGAUAUCAUCAGGAACACCGGUGGCGAAGGCGGGUCUCUGGGCAUUAACUGACGCUGAGGAGCGAAAGCAUGGGGAGCGAACAGG